rnacentral:rRNA from 1 species
AAUCAACGCUGGCGGCGUGCCUAACACAUGCAAGUCGCACGAGAAAGGGGAGCAAUCCCUGAGUAAAGUGGCGUACGGGUGAGUAACACGUGAAUUAUCUACCUCCGAGUGGGGAAUAACCUAGAGAAAUCUGGGCUAAUACCGCAUAACACUUAUGAGUCAAAGCAGCAAUGCGCUUGGAGAGGAGUUCGCGGCCGAUUAGCUAGUUGGCGGGGUAAUGGCCCACCAAGGCGAUGAUCGGUAUCCGGCCUGAGAGGGCGCACGGACACACUGGAACUGAAACACGGUCCAGACUCCUACGGGAGGCAGCAGUGGGGAAUUUGCGCAAUGGGCGAAAGCCUGACGCAGCAACGCCGCGUGUGUGAUGAAGGUCUUCGGAUUGUAAAGCACUUUCGACCGGGACG